rnacentral:rRNA from 1 species
UACAUGGGGUGCAAACGUUGCUCGGAAUCAUUGGGCGUAAAGCGCGCGUAGGCGGUCGCUUAAGUCGGAUGUGAAAUCCCUCGGCUUAACUGAGGAAGUGCAUCCGAAACUGAACGGCUAGAGUACGAAAGAGGGUCGCGGAAUUCCCGGUGUAGAGGUGAAAUUCGUAGAUAUCGGGAGGAACACCGGCGGCGAAGGCGGCGACCUGGUUCGAGACUGACGCUGAGGCGCGAAAGCGUGGGGAGCAAACAGG